rnacentral:rRNA from 1 species
AACGUAGGAGACAACCGUUAUCCGGAGUUACUGGGCGUAAAGGGCGUGUAGGUGGUAGAGUAAGUCUGGCGUGAAAUUUUUCGGCUUAACCGGGAAAGGUCGUCGGAUACUGCUUAACUAGAGGACGGUAGAGGCGUGUGGAAUUCCGGGUGUAGUGGUGAAAUGCGUAGAGAUCCGGAGGAACACCAGUGGCGAAGGCGACACGCUGGGCCGUACCUGACACUGAUGCGCGACAGCAUGGGGAGCAAACAGG